rnacentral:rRNA from 1 species
UACGGGGGGGGCAAGCGUUGUUCGGAAUUACUGGGCGUAAAGGGCUCGUAGGCGGCCAACUAAGUCAGACGUGAAAUCCCUCGGCUUAACCGGGGAACUGCGUCUGAUACUGGAUGGCUGGAGUUUGGGAGAGGGAUGCGGAAUUCCAGGUGUAGCGGUGAAAUGCGUAGAUAUCUGGAGGAACACCGGUGGCGAAGGCGGCAUCCUGGACCGGCAUUGACGCUGAGGCGCGAAAGCCAGGGGAGCAAAGCGGGG